CCAAUGAGGAUAGAGCUACGGUGGGACCUUUAAACUCUUGUCAAGCGAUAUUUCCUUUUAGGUCAUUUGUUUGCAAGUUUUCUUUCUUUUCUGAAGUAACGUUAGCUAUGAGCUUUGGCGGGACCUUUAAACGCUAGAAGAGGAUCAUUGAAAAAUAUAUUUCCUCAGGUAAUUUUGUUCGCAAAUUAUCUUUGUUUUCGGAAGUAACGUUAGCUACAAUUUUUUGUUGUCUACUGUUUUCAUUGAUCAUCAUCAUCGAUCGGAAUAUCUAGCAGGGAGAGCUGUAUGCCUUACCAAGGGAUGGCAACGCAUUUUGCCUGGGAAUGGGAUUCCAGAGAUGGACUUUGUCAGGGUUGACAAAAUGUGGUGGGACCGCCCUCCACCACCAUCUGCAGCUCAGUAGAGAUGGAGAGGAACUUUGCCCAUCCUCUGCUGCUCUAUAGGCCCAGGAAGCUCUGGCAGGUUCAACUGUAUUGCCCACAUUCUGUGCAAUAGGAAGGUCAUCAGUUGGAACAUAUGGUUCCUUAUAAUAAUAAUAAUAUAUGCCAUUUAGCAGACGCUUUUAUCCAAAGCGACUUACAGUCAUGCGUGCAUACAUUCUACGUAUGGGUGGUCCCGGGGAUCGAACCCACUACCCUGGCGUUACAAGCGCCAUGCUCUACCAACUGAGCUACAGAAGGACCACCUUACAAUGUUUCACGCAAAUAUACUGGACCUGAGCCCUAGGAUAAGGCAUCUGGACUGCCUGGCCUGUUUUCGACUCUCUCUCUACCGCACCUGCUGUCUCGACCUCUGAAUUCUCGACUAUGAAAAGCCAACUGACAUUUAAUCCUGAGAACCAAGACAGUGACGUGGUAAACUAUGCAGCUGUGAGUUUCACCACCAAGAAAAGCCCCUCCUCCAGAAGAGAGAGAGCCCAGACCAUCAGAGAGGAUGCAGAGUACUCUGAGGUCAGGUACCUUCAGCAGGAGUGAGAUAUGGGAAGAACCUCACCACAUUGAACAGAAACCACAUCCAUAUACAAUAGAGAUAACUUUGAAGGCCUUGUGACGACUGGUAAAAAAAAAUUAGUACGUAACUAAUAGCUCAAUAAAAUAGAAAAUACAUGUACUUGUAACCCAUAAAAGCAUAUUCGAUGAGUAGCCUUUCAUUGUUUCUCUAAUGUCUUAGAUGUACAAAUUGCCUCAUAACUGAAUAAAUGUUGCUGA